AGCGAACGCUGGCGGCAGGCCUAACACAUGCAAGUCGAACGAACCCUUCGGGGUUAGUGGCGGACGGGUGAGUAACACGUGGGAACGUGCCUUUAGGUUCGGAAUAACUCAGGGAAACUUGUGCUAAUACCGAAUGUGCCCUUCGGGGGAAAGAUUUAUCGCCUUUAGAGCGGCCCGCGUCUGAUUAGCUAGUUGGUGAGGUAAUGGCUCACCAAGGCUACGAUCAGUAGCUGGUCUGAGAGGAUGACCAGCCACAUUGGGACUGAGACACGGCCCAAACUCCUACGGGAGGCAGCAGUGGGGAAUCUUGCGCAAGGGGCGAAAGCCUGACGCAGCCAUGCCGCGUGGAUGAUGAAGGUCUGAGGAUUGUAAAAUCCUUUCACCGGUGGAGAUAAUGACUGUAGCCGGAGAAGAAGCCCCGGCUAACUUCGUGCCAGCCGCCGCGGUAAAAC
rnacentral:rRNA from 1 species